rnacentral:tRNA from 1 species
CUCCAGUUAGCCUAGUGGUUAAGGCUUUGGAUCGCCAAUCCGGAGACGACGGGUUCGAUUCCCGUCCUGGUCG